GACGAACGCUGGCGGCGUGCUUAACACAUGCAAGUCGAACGGAAAGGCCCUGCUUUUGUGGGGUGCUCGAGUGGCGAACGGGUGAGUAACACGUGAGUAACCUGCCCUUGACUUUGGGAUAACUUCAGGAAACUGGGGCUAAUACCGGAUAGGAGCUCCUGCUGCAUGGUGGGGGUUGGAAAGUUUCGGCGGUUGGGGAUGGACUCGCGGCUUAUCAGCUUGUUGGUGGGGUAGUGGCUUACCAAGGCUUUGACGGGUAGCCGGCCUGAGGGGGUGACCGGCCACAUUGGGACUGAGAUACGGCCCAGACUCCUACGGGAGGCAGCAGUGGGGAAUAUUGCGCAAUGGGCGGAAGCCGGAUGCAGCAACGCCGCGUGCGGGAUGACGGCCUUCGGGUUGUAAACCGCUUUCGCCUGUGACGAAGCGUGAGUGACGGUAAUGGGUAAAGAAGCACCGGCUAACUACGUG
rnacentral:rRNA from 1 species